rnacentral:rRNA from 1 species
UACAGAGGGGGCGAGCGUUAUUCGGAAUUAUUGGGCGUAAAGGGCGCGUAGGCGGCUUUUCAAGUGACGGGUGAAAUCCCUCGGCUUAACCGAGGAACUGCCUGUCAGACUGGAAGGCUUGAGACCGGGAGAGGUGAGUGGAAUUCCCAGUGUAGCGGUGAAAUGCGUAGAUAUUGGGAGGAACACCAGUGGCGAAGGCGGCUUUCUGGUACGGCACUGACGCUGAGACGCGAAAGCGUGGGGAGCGAACAGG